rnacentral:rRNA from 1 species
UGGGGGAAUUUUUGGACAAUGGGCGAAAGCCUGAUCCAGCAAUGCCGCGUGUGUGAAGAAGGCCUUCGGGUUGUAAAGCACUUUUGUCCGGAAAGAAAUCCUUGGCUCUAAUACAGUCGGGGGAUGACGGUACCGGAAGAAUAAGCACCGGCUAACUACGUGCCAGCAGCCGCGGUAAUACGUAGGGUGCAAGCGUUAAUCGGAAUUACUGGGCGUAAAGCGUGCGCAGGCGGUUUGCUAAGACCGAUGUGAAAUCCCCGGGCUCAACCUGGGAACUGCAUUGGUGACUGGCAGGCUAGAGUAUGGCAGAGGGGGGUAGAAUUCCACGUGUAGCAGUGAAAUGCGUAGAGAUGUGGAGGAAUACCGAUGGCGAAGGCAGCCCCCUGGGCCAAUACUGACGCUCAUGCACGAAAGCGUGGGGAGCAAACAGGAUUAGAUACCCUGGUAGUCCACGCCCUAAACGAUGUCAACUAGUUGUUGGGGAUUCAUUUCCUUAGUAACGUAGCUAACGCGUGAAGUUGACCGCCUGGGGAGUACGGUCGCAAGAUU